AGAGUAAUGUCUAAGUAUCAUUAAGUGAAUACAUAGCUUAAUGAGGGGAACUCAGGGAACUGAAACAUCUAAGUACCUGAAGGAAGAGAAAGAAAUUCGAUUCCGUAAGUAGCGGCGAGCGAACGCGGAUUAGCCCAAACCAAUAAAGUUUUCUUUAUUGGGGUUGCGGACAUAUCAUAACGAAGAGGUAUCGUAAUUGAAGAGGUUUGGAAAGACCCACCACAGAAGGUAAUAGUCCUGUAUGUUAAACGAGAAGACUUCAGAUAUGAUCCAGAGUACCACGGGACACGUGAAACCCUGUGGGAAGCAGGAGGGACCACCCUCCAAGGCUAAAUACUACCUAGUGACCGAUAGCGUAUAGUACCGUGAGGGAAAGGUGAAAAGAACCCCGGGAGGGGAGUGAAAUAGAACCUGAAACCCUGCACUUACAAGCUGUGGAAGCACAUUUCUUGUGUGACCGCGUACUUUUUGUAGAACGGGCCAACGAGUUACGUUAAGUAG
rnacentral:rRNA from 1 species